GGCCCCACCCUGUCUUCUGGCCAAGGAGACUGAAGAAAUCUUGGCAAAGAAUGCUAUUCCCUGCUGCCCUGCGGAGAUGACCACUUCAUGGAGAGCAGAGGGAGGAAGGAGGAGAAAAGCGAAGAGAAAGAUGAGGAAACUGAGGCACAGAUGGUCUGAAGAUGCAAGCCUGGUUUCAAAGCCGGAGCUGUGCACCGGCGGGCCAUUUACGGAGUCUGCAAUUCUGUUGUCACUGGGAGAAAAACCAGCCUCACUCCACAGACCCCUCCGCCAGUAGAGAAACAAGUGUUGAAGAUAAGAGGAGUUUAAACAAAUACAUUCCCAUACAGGAGGCCGAAGAAGGGGAAAGGUUGGGAGGUUUCUCUCCCUUAUCUCUUUCUUUCUUUCCUUCUCUCUCUUCUUCACUCCCUGGCUUUCAUCCUCCUUCUUUCUUUCAUUUUUUUUUAUUCUGACUUUAUUAACCACCUAUCCCGCAGAUC